rnacentral:lncRNA from 1 species
CCUCAGCCCCACCGCCUGCCGCCCCCUGGUACUGACCAGCUCCUUCUUCCUCUUCUCCUCUUUCACGUCGGUCUUCUUGAUCUCUGCCUUGAAGGCCUCCGCCUCGCCAUUCUGGUCGUCCUUGGCCAGCAGGUCCAUGAGAGACAAGAUCUCUCUCCAUUGCCAACACUGGUCUCAAACUCCUGGCCUCAAGCAAUCAUCCAACCUCAGCCUUCUGAGUACCGGGAUUACAAGUGCGAGCCACUGUGCCCAGCUCCUGUUUCUACUUUCUUAAGGAAUCCAAGAAAACAAAUGUUAAAAUUUGCGGAAUAAGAGGAAAUGGUGUUAUAGACCAACGGAACAGAAUGUGGAACUCAUAAAUAAGUCCACACACCUACAACGAUCUGAUCUUCGACAAACCUGACAAAAACAAGCAAUAAGGAAAGGAUUCCCUAUUCAAUAAAUGGUGCUGGGAGAACUGGCUAGCCAUAUGCAGAAGAUUGAAACUGGACCCCUUCCUUAUGCCACAUACAAAAAUUAACUUAUGGUGGACUAAUGACUUAAAUGUAAAACCAAAAUCUAUAAAAACUUUGUAAGUAAGGGGUGGAGGAAGCAAGCUAGAAGGACGUUCUAUAAUCUCUUACUGCAUGCAGACAUAAAGCUUACCUUAUGAUUGGGUUCAGAUGGCAAAGGAGGGAUUACUAGAAUGAUGAAUUUUAGAAGCCCCACAGCUGGUUUACAAAAGCACCUACCUGCCAAAUCAUAUAGACCAUUUUAGGACAUGUCAAGUAGUUUAGCUUUUAUUCUGAAUGCUAUUGAAAGCCACUGAUUUUAAGCAGCAAAAGGCAAGCCAGGAUUUUAGAGAGAAAUGUCUGAUGAUAGUAAUGCAGAGUGAAAUGGAGGGGGAUGAAAUUGGAGGCAGGAAGCCAUUGCAGAAGUUAAGGUGGGAGAGGAUGACUUCUUGGCUUUAGACAUGGAAAAGAAGUGAGGGGUGGGCACGAUAACAAGUCAAAGAUGACAUCUGAAGUUCUUGUUGAGGAACUAGUUGGAAGUACCAUUUGAUGUCAUUUUGCAAAUGGGAAUAUAGAAGGAAAUGGUAUUAGUUUUUAAAAAUUGUCUUGAAAAAUUAUACAAGCUCAUUAUAAAAAUUAGAUCAAUACAGUAAGGUCAUAAAUGAAAGUUAAAUAUUAUCUCAAAUCUCAGAACUAAGAAAUAUUCCUUGUUAAUUUCUGGUACACUUAAUACCAGACAUGUUUCUAUGAAAAAAUAUACAC